rnacentral:rRNA from 1 species
UCCUCCCUCUUUCUUCGUGCUUAACACAUGCAAGUCGAACGGAAAGGCCCUGCUUUUGUGGGGUGCUCGAGUGGCGAACGGGUGAGUAACACGUGAGUAACCUGCCCUUGACUUUGGGAUAACUUCAGGAAACUGGGGCUAAUACCGGAUAGGAGCUCCUGCUGCAUGGUGGGGGUUGGAAAGUUUCGGCGGUUGGGGAUGGACUCGCGGCUUAUCAGCUUGUUGGUGGGGUAGUGGCUUACCAAGGCUUUGACGGGUAGCCGGACUGAGAGGGUGACCGGCCACAUUGGGACUGAGAUACGGCCCAGACUCCUACGGGAGGCAGCAGUGGGGAAUAUUGCACAAUGGGCGGAAGCCUGAUGCAGCAACGCCGCGUGCGGGAUGACGGCCUUCGGGUUGUAAACCGCUUUCGCCUGUGACGAAGCGUGAGUGACGGUAAUGGGUAAAGAAGCACCGGCUAACUACGUG